rnacentral:rRNA from 1 species
AGUGAACGCUGGCGGUAGGCCUAACACAUGCAAGUCGAACGGCAGCACAGUAAGAGCUUGCUCUUACGGGUGGCGAGUGGCGGACGGGUGAGGAAUACAUCGGAAUCUACUUUUUCGUGGGGGAUAACGUAGGGAAACUUACGCUAAUACCGCAUACGACCUACGGGUGAAAGCAGGGGAUCUUCGGACCUUGCGCGAUUGAAUGAGCCGAUGUCGGAUUAGCUAGUUGGCGGGGUAAAGGCCCACCAAGGCGACGAUCCGUAGCUGGUCUGAGAGGAUGAUCAGCCACACUGGAACUGAGACACGGUCCAGACUCCUACGGUAGGCAGCAGUGGGGAAUAUUGGACAAUGGGCGCAAGCCUGAUCCAGCCAUACCGCGUGGGUGAAGAAGGCCUUCGGGUUGUAAAGCCCUGUUGUUGGGAAAGAAAAGCAGCAGGUUAAGACCCCGCUGUUCUGACGGUACCCAAAGAAUAAGCACCGGCUAACUUCGUG